UACGUAGGGGGCGAGCGUUGUCCGGAAUUAUUGGGCGUAAAGAGCUCGUAGGCGGUUUGUCGCGUCUGCUGUGAAAACCUGAGGCUCAACCUCGGGCUUGCAGUGGGUACGGGCAGACUAGAGUGCGGUAGGGGUGACUGGAAUUCCUGGUGUAGCGGUGGAAUGCGCAGAUAUCAGGAGGAACACCGGUGGGCGAAGGCGGGGUCUCUGGGCAGUAACUGACG
rnacentral:rRNA from 1 species